rnacentral:rRNA from 1 species
CAAUAGCGUAUAUUAAAGUUGUUGCGGUUAAAAAGCUCGUAGUUGGAUUUCUGCCGAGGACGACCGGUCCGCCCUCUGGGUGUGUAUCUGGUUUGGCCUGGGCAUCUUCUUGGAGAACGUAGCUGCACUUGACUGUGUGGUGCGGUGUCCAGGACUUUUACUUUGAGGAAAUUAGAGUGUUUCAAGCAGGCACACGCCUUGAAUACAUUAGCAUGGAAUAAUAAGGUAGGACCUCGGUUCUAUUUUGUUGGUUUCUAGAGCUGAGGUAAUGAUUAAUAGGGAUAGUUGGGGGCAUUCGUAUUUAACUGUCAGAGGUGAAAUUCUUGGAUUGUUAAAGACGGACUACUGCGAAAGCAUUUGCCAAGGAUGUUUUCAUUGA